rnacentral:rRNA from 1 species
AACGAACGCUGGCGGCAUGCCUAACACAUGCAAGUCGAACGAGACCUUCGGGUCUAGUGGCGCACGGGUGCGUAACGCGUGGGAACCUGCCCUUAGGUUCGGAAUAACUCCCCGAAAGGGGUGCUAAUACCGGAUAAUGUCUUCGGACCAAAGAUUUAUCGCCUUUGGAUGGGCCCGCGUUGGAUUAGCUAGUUGGUAGGGUAAAAGCCUACCAAGGCGACGAUCCAUAGCUGGUCUGAGAGGAUGAUCAGCCACACUGGGACUGAGACACGGCCCAGACUCCUACGGGAGGCAGCAGUGGGGACUAUUGGACACUGGGCGAAAGCCUGAUCCAGCAAUGCCGCGUGAGUGAUGAAGGCCUUAGGGUUGUAAAGCUCUUUUACCCGGGAUGAUAAUGACAGUACCGGGAGAAUAAGCUCCGGCUAACUCCGUG